AUCCAUUAUUCAGUUGGUGGAAUACAAAGCUCUUAACCUUGUGGACGUGGGUUCAAGCCCCAUGGUGGAUA
rfam:Triticum aestivum genome assembly, contig: Triticum_aestivum_CS42_TGACv1_scaffold_030445_1BL